rnacentral:rRNA from 1 species
AUUGAACGCUGGCGACAGGCCUAACACAUGCAAGUCGAGCGCGAAAGUCUUCGGAUGAGUAAAGCGGCGAACGGGUGAGUAAUGCAUGGGAAUCUGCCUGGUAGUGGGGGACAACGUCUCGAAAGGGACGCUAAUACCGCAUACGCCUACGGGGAAAGGGGGGAGUCUUCGGACCUCUCGCUAUCAGAUGAGCCCAUGUCAGAUUAGCUAGUUGGUGAGGUAAAGGCUCACCAAGGCGACGAUCUGUAACUGGUCUGAGAGGAUGAUCAGUCACACUGGAACUGAGACACGGUCCAGACUCCUACGGGAGGCAGCAGUGGGGAAUAUUGGACAAUGGGGGGCAACCCUGAUCCAGCCAUGCCGCGUGUGUGAAGAAGGCCCUAGGGUU